rnacentral:piRNA from 1 species
AUUUUCCCAGGAUGGUAUGAGAAUGC